rnacentral:rRNA from 1 species
UAGGGAAUCUUCCACAAUGGACGCAAGUCUGAUGGAGCAACGCCGCGUGAGUGAAGAAGGUUUUCGGAUCGUAAAGCUCUGUUGUUGGUGAAGAAGGAUAGAGGCAGUAACUGGUCUUUAUUUGACGGUAAUCAACCAGAAAGUCACGGCUAACUACGUGCCAGCAGCCGCGGUAAUACGUAGGUGGCAAGCGUUGUCCGGAUUUAUUGGGCGUAAAGCGAGCGCAGGCGGAAUGAUAAGUCUGAUGUGAAAGCCCACGGCUCAACCGUGGAACUGCAUCGGAAACUGUCAUUCUUGAGUGCAGAAGAGGAGAGUGGAACUCCAUGUGUAGCGGUGGAAUGCGUAGAUAUAUGGAGGAACACCAGUGGCGAAAGGCGGCUCUCUGGUCUGCAACUGACGCUGAGGCUCGAAAGCAUGGGUAGCGAACAGGAUUAGAUACCCUGGUAGUCCAUGCCGUAAAACGAUGAGCGCUAGGUGUUGGGGACUUUCCGGUUCUCAGUGCCGCAGCAAAACGCAUUAAGCGCUCCGCCUGGGGAGUACGACCGCAAGGUUGAAAC